GUGCACCAGCUUGUCGAGAACUCGGACGAGACCUGCGAAAUGCGAUAAGUAAUGCGAAUUGCAGAAUUCCGCGAGUCAUCGAAUCUUUGAACGCACAUUGCGCCUGCCAGUAUUCUGGCAGGCAUGCCUGUCCGAGCGUCAUU
rnacentral:rRNA from 1 species